GACGUAGGGCGCGAGCGUUGUCCGGAUUUAUUGGGCGUAAAGAGCUCGUAGGCGGCUUGUCGCGUCGUCCGUGAAAACUUGGGGCUUAACCCUGAGCUUGCGGUCGAUACGGGCAUCACUGGAGUUCGGCAGGGGAGACUGGAAUUCCUGGUGUAGCGGUGAAAUGCGCAGAUAUCAGGAGGAACACCGGUGGCGAAGGCGGGUCUCUGGGCCGAUACUGACGCUGAGGAGCGAAAGCGUGGGGAGCGAACAGG
rnacentral:rRNA from 1 species